rnacentral:misc_RNA from 1 species
CAGUGUUAGCUGCCCUCACGGGUAGCAAACCUCACCCUUGUAUAUUAUAUCUUUGUUGCUUUGGCACGCCGCCUUCGGGCACCGGCUUCGCUGGCUCGCGCGUGUCAGAGGACUUAAAACUCUGAAUGUUAGUGUCGUCUGAGUACUAUCUAAUAGUUA